rnacentral:rRNA from 1 species
CYKWWYURSUYMGCAGAGAUGSWUUGGUGCCUUCGGGAACUCUGAGACAGGUGCUGCAUGGCUGUCGUCAGCUCGUGUUGUGAAAUGUUGGGUUAAGUCCCGCAACGAGCGCAACCCUUAUCCUUUGUUGCCAGCGGUYCGGCCGGGAACUCAAAGGAGACUGCCAGUGAUAAACUGGAGGAAGGUGGGGAUGACGUCAAGUCAUCAUGGCCCUUACGAGUAGGGCUACACACGUGCUACAAUGGCGCAUACAAAGAGAAGCGACCUCGCGAGAGCAAGCGGACCUCAUAAAGUGCGUCGUAGUCCGGAUUGGAGUCUGCAACUCGACUCCAUGAAGUCGGAAUCGCUAGUAAUCGUAGAUCAGAAUGCUACGGUGAAUACGUUCCCGGGUCUGUAMCACACCGAA